UGCUUAUCUUACCUGCCGUUUAGUGGGGGAUAAAAUACCGCAUAUUCUGGUUUCGACCAGGAAAGGACUUCGGUUCGCUAAAUGAUGGGGAUAAGGCGUAUUAGUUUGUUGGUGGGGUAAAGGCCUACCAAGACCAAGAUGCGUAGCCAAACUGAGAGGUUGAAUGGCCACAGGGAAACUGAGACACGGUUCCCACUCCUACGGGAGGCAGCAGUGAGGAAUAUUCCGCAAUGGGCGAAAGCCUGACGGAGCGAUGCUACGUGAAGGAUGAAGGUCUACGGAUUGUAAACUUCUUUACUUGGAUGUACUCCUUAAAACUUGCAUCCGAGCAAAAAGUCACGACUAACUAUGUGCCAGCAGUCGCGGUAAGACAUAGGUGGCGAACGUUAUCCGGAAUUAUUGGGCGUAAAGGAUGCGUAGAUGGUAGAAUAAGUUAUUGGUUGAUACCAAACUCAAUUUGGUGGAGGCUGGUAAUACUGUUCGGCUAGAGGGCAGGAGAAGUUGAUGGAAUUCUGUGUGGAGCGGUGAAAUGCGUUGAUCUACAGAGGAACACCAAAAAAGGCGAAGGCAGUCAACUAUUCUGUUCCUGACAUUGAGGCAUGAAAGCGUGGGGAGCAAACCGGAUUAGAUACCCGGGUAGUCCACGCCCUAAACGAUGAGCAUUAGAUAUUGGGCAUUUUGCUUAGUGUCGCAGCUAACGCUUUAAAUGCUCCGCCUGAGUACUACGGUCGCAAGGCUAAAACUCAAAGGAAUUGACGGGGACCCGCACAAGCGGUGGAGCAUGUGGUUUAAUUCGAUACGACGCGCAGAACCUUACCAAGGUUUGACAUGGAGGGCAAAGUUGAAGAAACUCAACGGAGGUUAUCCCGACACAGGUGGUGCAUGGUCGUCGUCAGUUCGUGCUGUGAAGCGUACGCUUAAGUGCUAGAACGAACGCAACCCUCAUAUUUAGUUGCUAUCAUUUAGUUGAGAACUCUAAAUAGACUGCUAAGAUAACUUAGAGGAAGGAGAGGAUCACGUUUGAUCAUC
rnacentral:rRNA from 1 species